rnacentral:rRNA from 1 species
AGACGGGGGGGGCGAGCGUUGUUCGGAAUUACUGGGCGUAAAGGGCGCGCAGGCGGCCUGGGAAGUCUUGGGUGAAAGCCCCCGGCUCAACCGGGGAAUGGCCUGAGAAACCACUAGGCUGGAGUGCUGGAGAGGGAAGCGGAAUUCCCGGUGGAGCGGUGAAAUGCGUAGAUAUCGGGAGGAACACCAGAGGCGAAGGCGGCUUCCUGGACAGACACUGACGCUGAGGCGCGAAAGCUAGGGGAGCAAACGGGAUUAGAAACCCCGGUAGUCC